rnacentral:misc_RNA from 1 species
AAAAAAAGCUGACUCUGUUCUAAAGUGACAACCACUUAUAGAAGAAUAUAAAGUUCAGUGAUAACAUCAAACAAAAACAAUAGUUGAAAUCCAAGAAAAUGUGUUGUAUUAGUCUUUCCAAACACACAUAAAGGAUUUUGUACGUGAAAAACUUGAGCCAUCAGAUUUUUACUGUAAGUAAAACACUGCCCAAAUACCUCUUUCUGUGAUAAUUCCUGCAAUUGAUUUCUGCUCUCCAGGUUUAA